UACGUAGGCAGCAAGCGUUGUUCGGAGUUACUGGGCGUAAAGGGUGUGUAGGCGGUUCUUUAAGUUUGGUGUGAAAUCUCCCGGCUCAACCGGGAGGGUGCGCCGAAUACUGAGGGACUAGAGUGCGGGAGAGGAAAGUGGAAUUCCUGGUGUAGCGGUGGAAAUGCGUAGAUAUCAGGAGGAACACCGGUGGUGUAGACGGCUUUCUGGACCGUAACUGACGCUGGAAACAACGAAAGCGUGGGUAGCAAACAGG
rnacentral:rRNA from 1 species